CAGUCGCCGCGGUAAUACGAGGGGGGCAAGCGUUGUUCGGAAUUAUUGGGCGUAAAGGGUGCGUAGGCGGUUUGGCAAGUUUGGUGUGAAAUCUUCGGGCUCAACUCGAAGUCUGCAUCGAAAACUGCCGGGCUUGAGUAUGGGAGAGGUGAGUGGAAUUUCCGGUGUAGCGGUGAAAUGCGUAGAUAUCGGAAGGAACACCUGUGGCGAAAGCGGCUCACUGGACCAUUACUGACGCUGAGGCGCGAAAGCUAGGGGAGCAAACAGGAUUAGAUACCCCUGUAGUCCCUGUCUCUUAUAC
rnacentral:rRNA from 1 species